rnacentral:lncRNA from 10 species
GAACGAUUGUUCAAGUCCUGGAGUACGUUUCGGAACGCUGCUCCCGGAACACCGCUCCUGGAGCGAUUGUUUCAAUGUUGCUUGCUCGGAAUGGCCCUCCUGAGCAAACAACAGACGGUGCUCAAAGUAACAACUGGACUUAAUAAAAGGAGCUUACACGAAGGAGGAGCUGAAGGCUGCUGUGGUCGUGUGCUGGGGGCUGCCCCAGCUCCAGCUGCAGGACCCCGGCCGUCUGCCUUCCGACUCCGGUGAUGAUUCUUCCUGCGGUCUGAUCAAGAUUCUAUGCAGUUAACUUUGUAUCCAAGGAUCUAUAGCCAAGAAAUUUGGAGCUCAGUUUCAAACGAAAAAAGAAAAACACACUGACUGGGAUAUAGCAGUCCUGAAUGCCAAUUUGAGACAAAUUCCAGCAAGCAAUGUGAUCUAGGUGAAAAU